UACGUAGGCAGCAAGCGUUGUUCGGAAUCAUUGGGCGUAAAGAGCGUGUAGGCGGCCAGAAAAGUCCGCUGUGAAAACUCGAGGCUCAACUUCGAGCUGUCGGUGGAAACUUUCUGGCUAGAGUCCGGAAGAGGAGAAUGGAAUUCCUGGUGUAGCGGUGAAAUGCGCAGAUAUCAGGAAGAACACCCGUGGCGAAGGCGGUUCUCUGGGACGGUACUGACGCUGAGACGCGAAAGCGUGGGGAGCGAACAGG
rnacentral:rRNA from 1 species